rnacentral:rRNA from 1 species
UACGUAGGGUCCGAGCGUUGUCCGGAAUUAUUGGGCGUAAAGAGCGUGUAGGCGGCCAGGUAGGUCUGCUGUGAAAACUCGAGGCUUAACCUCGAGCUGUCGGCGGAAACCAUCUGGCUAGAGUCCGGAAGAGGAGAAUGGAAUUCCCGGUGUAGCGGUGAAAUGCGCAGAUAUCGGGAAGAACACCCGUGGCGAAGGCGGUUCUCUGGGACGGUACUGACGCUGAGACGCGAAAGCGUGGGGAGCGAACAGG